GGUCAGAAGACAAGGGGUGUGAGCAGCCUCUGUGGAAACAUGGAGACAAGCAACAGAAAAUGAGCACCCUGGGGAAGCCAAUGGCACCAGGAAGCUUCUGAGAGGAAGAGAUUGGCGAAAAGCUGCCGUCCAUAAGCCAGGAAGGAGAGCACACAGAGAGGAGAGAUUUCUAGACUGAGUGUGUCACAGCAGAGGCUAGAGCAAGCAGCUGCUUGUUUCUCCGCCCCUCCCAGCUCUGCUGUGAUUAAAGGGCCAGCAGAGUCUAGCCGGCUGCUGGGAUAAGCUACCAGGACACCUAGGCUGCAAAUUCCACAUUGAGAAGUCUCGAAGGUGACUCUGCAUCAUGAAUACUCUGUCUGAAGCAAAUGGCAACUUUGCCAUCCACCUUUUAAAGAUGCUCUGUGAAAGCAACCCUUCGACAAAUGUCUGUUAUUCUCCCAUGAGCAUCUCCUCUGCUCUGGCUAUGGUCCUCUUGGGGGCGAAGGGAGACACUGCAGUCCAGAUGUCUCAGGUAAGCUGUCUGUCACCCCUCACCUG